CAUCAGGCCGUGGGGUCGCUCGCAAGGCAGGAAGAGUCAGACCCAGAAUAAAACAGCACACUUCUUCUAUUCUCUCGACAUGGCUCUGACCUCUGACAGCAGCGUUCUUCUUGGAGGUUCCUGGCACGGCGAGUGAAGCCCCCCUCCCCCGCCCCAGCCAGCUCACCCCCAGCACCAUCGUGGAGGAGCCACCACAUGAGCCACAGGGCGCCAAGAUGAGUAUUUCAUUCAGCUUGUCUAGUGGGCACCUACCUCCCUUCAUCGGUGUUUCGUUGAAUUAGGCCCCCAACAUCUCAGGAGGGCUCAGCAGUGAAGUCUGGCAUCCGAGACCCACGCCCCUCCGCACAAGUUAGAUGCCCUCCACCCGGUAUCUAAGGGGUGCUAUGCUGAUUCUGGCCAAGGGAAGUCAGAAACCCCAGCACUGGCCCUGGUGGACAGUGGUUUUACGUCUUCUGGACCCUUUGUCGACGAUCUCAACUGCGGGAGGGCAAAACGUGACAUUCAGCCCCCUUCCCAACAGCGCAGCUCCCCAGUUAUCGAGUGUGUGACGCCUCUGUGUGUGAGCGACACGUCGGAGGGGCCCUGUGCUGCAUGGCGGUGAUUUCCAGGGC
rnacentral:lncRNA from 1 species